GGUGUAGCUCAGUAGCAUAGCACUUGCCUGGCACGCACAAGGCCCUGGGUUCCAUCCCCAGCACC
rnacentral:tRNA from 1 species